rnacentral:rRNA from 1 species
GUCAUUUCUCUCUCAAACCUUCGGGUUUGGUAUUGAGUGAUACUCUGUCAAGGGUUAACUUGAAAUAUUGACUUAGCAAGAGUGUACUAAUAAGCAGUCUUUCUGAAAUAAUGUAUUAGGUUCUUCCAACUCGUUAUAUCAGCUAGGCAGGUUUAGAAGUAUUUUAGGCUCGGCUUAACAACAAUAAACUAAAAGUUUGACCUCAAAUCAGGUAGGACUACCCGCUGAACUUAAGCAUAUCAAUAAGCGGAGGAAAAGAAACCAACAGGGAUUGCCUCAGUAACGGCGAGUGAAGCGGCAAAAGCUCAAAUUUGAAAUCUAGCACCUUCGGUGUUCGAGUUGUAAUUUGAAGAUGGUAACCUUGGGUUUGGCUCUUGUCUAUGUUCCUUGGAACAGGACGUCAUAGAGGGUGAGAAUCCCGUCUGAUGAGAUGCCCAUUCCUAUGUAAGGUGCUAUCGAAGAGUCGAGUUGUUUGGGAAUGCAGCUCUAAGUGGGUGGUAAAUUCCAUCUAAAGCUAAAUAUUGGCGAGAGACCGAUAGCGAACAAGUACAGUGAUGGAAAGAUGAAAAGAACUUUGAAAAGAGAGUGAAAAAGUACGUGAAAUUGUUGAAAGGGAAGGGCAUUAGAUCAGACUUGGUGUUUUACGAUUAUCUUCUCUUCUUGAGUUGUGCACUCGUAUUUCACUGGGCCAGCAUCGAUUCGGAUGGCAAGAUAAUGGCAGUUGAAUGUGGCUUCACUUCGGUGGAGUGUUAUAGCUUCUGCUGAUAUUGCCUGUC